rnacentral:rRNA from 1 species
UACGGAGGGUGCAAGCGUUGCUCGGAAUUAUUGGGCGUAAAGGGUAGGUAGGUGGUCUCAUUUGUCUGGGGUGAAAGCCUUGAGCUUAACUCAAGAAGUGCCCCAGAAACGGUGAGACUAGAGUACUGGAGAGGGUCGUGGAAUUCCCGGUGUAGCGGUGAAAUGCGUAGAGAUCGGGAGGAACACCAGAGGCGAAGGCGGCGACCUGGACAGUUACUGACACUCAACUACGAAAGCGUGGGGAGCAAACAGG